AUUGAACGCUGGCGGCAUGCCUUACACAUGCAAGUCGAACGGCAGCACGGACUUCGGUCUGGUGGCGAGUGGCGAACGGGUGAGUAAUGCAUCGGAACGUGCCAUUGAGUGGGGGAUAACGUAGCGAAAGUUGCGCUAAUACCGCAUAUUCUGUGAGCAGGAAAGCAGGGGACCGCAAGGCCUUGCGCUCUUUGAGCGGCCGAUGUCAGAUUAGCUAGUUGGUGAGGUAAAGGCUUACCAAGGCGACGAUCUGUAGCGGGUCUGAGAGGAUGAUCCGCCACACUGGAACUGAGACACGGUCCAGACUCCUACGGGAGGCAGCAGUGGGGAAUUUGGACAAUAGGGGGCAACCUGAUCCAGCCAUGCCGCGUGAGUGAAGAAGGCCU
rnacentral:rRNA from 1 species